AGAGUUUUAGUUUAAUUAAAAUGUCUGUGUUGCAAGCAGAAGAUGUGAUAUUUGCAGGCUCU
rnacentral:tRNA from 1 species